UUGUGGGAGACAUCGACGCCGGUUUCCUCAGUACCUCUGGAUCUACUAUCCGGACCGUUCCCUGCUGAAGACUCGACGUCGGCAUCUGGGCUAUCCGCACCUCCACAGCCACCGUCGCCGACACCAUCAGCACAGCCAGCAACCACAGACAAGCCGCGGACAUCGCCCCGGAUACCAAAACAAAAAGAAAGAAAUACUUGUGUGUGUGUGUGUGUGUGUGCAUGAAAAGAUCACCCGGAACCCGGAAAUCAGACACGAUAUAUUUAACUACCUAUGUUUUUUGUUUUAUUCAACGCCUGUGCGUAUGAAAACAGACGAUCAGUCAGAGGUCGAAGGAGUAGGGCACUCGCUGGUUGAUUCUUUAACUCACCAGACGCCUCAGCUGAUAGCAGAUACAAAGACAACGAGCACGCCACACCUUCUACCUGUCGCUUCAACACCAACACCAACACCAACGUUUGCUCUCCCCUCUGGGUCUUGGCCUUUGUGGGAGACAUCGACGCCGGUUUCGUCAGUACCUCUGGAUCUACUAUCCGGACCGUUCCCUGCUGAAGACUCGACGUCGGCAUCUGGGCUAUCCGCACCUCCACAGCCACCGUCGCCGACACCAUCAGCACAGCCAGCAACCACAGACAAGCAGCGGACAUCGCCCCGGAUACCAAAACAAAAAGAAAGAAAUACUUGUGUGUGUGUGUGUGUGUGUGUGCAUGAAAAGAUCACCCGGAACCCGGAAAUCAGACACGACCGGGAAGUCAUCCGGACCCUGUGGAUGCUGAUCA